rnacentral:rRNA from 1 species
GUAGGUGGCAAGCGUUGUCCGGAAUUAUUGGGCGUAAAGCGCGCGCAGGCGGGGUCCUUUAAGUCUGAUGUGAAGGGCCCACGGGCUCAACCGUGGAGGGUCAUUGGAAACUGGGGGACUUGAGUACAGAAGAGGAAAGCGGAAUUCCAAGUGUAGCGGUGAAAUGCGUAGAGAUUUGGAGGAACACCAGUGGCGAAGGCGGCUUUCUGGUCUGUAACUGACGCUGAGGCGCGAAAGCGUGGGGAGCAAACAGGAUUAGAUACCCUGGUAGUCCACGCCGUAAACGAUGAGUGCUAAGUGUUAGGGGGUUUCCGCCCCUUAGUGCUGCAGCUAACGCAUUAAGCACUCCGCCUGGGGAGUACGGCCGCAAAGGCUG